AGGCCAGGGAUCGAACCUGAACCCUUAUGGAUCCUAGUCGGGUUCAUUUCCACUGUGCCACAACAGGAGCUCCUGAACUCUCUCUUUCAUGUACCCAAUCCACUUUUGCCGAAAUUUCUCUUGAGAAUGAACUUUGGACUUUACCACAAGCCCAAGAGGAAUGCAGAUGGAUGCUGGGCUUCAAGUGCUCCCAGAAGAUCAAAGGAAGUAGGGGAAAAGCAAAAAGGGACAAGGCAGGAGUGGGAGGGAAAGUGGAAGGGCUGUGGAAAGGGCUGGAGAACAGAGAGGAGGGCCCAGAGAGGAAAAGGGACACCAGGCUGGUGGAGGCACCCAAGACCCCUGGGAGCCCCGGGGUUGUGGGGACAGUUGGGCUCUUCACCUCUUUACAGCAGGAUCCUCUGAGCUGAUGGCUAAACCCCAAGAGGCCUUCCCCAUUGAGGAUCAGCAGGGACCCUCACCCCACCCCAGGAUGAUCAGGAGAUGCCUGUGGUCUGGCUGCUCCAGCCCCUCGUUCAGGGUUGUCCUCGUAGCAGACACCAUGGAAAAGCCAUGUCGCCCUGCCUCUUGCAGAACUUGGGGCAGGUCACUCGUCUCCCCUGCCCCUCGUUUCCCUUGUGAACUGUGAAGGGUUUGUCUGAGGUCAGUGGUCUUCAGCUUUUAUGGCGAAACAACAUCAGGACAGGACCCUUUGCCCCAGCUGCAUUUUAUCUGAAGCAAGGACGGCUAAAGCAGGUGAGGUUGGAGUUGCUCUAGGUUAAGUAAGGCUGGGGAUGGGGUGUUGCUCAAGCAGCUUCUGGAGAUCUGGAUCAGAUGUUCAGCAAAGCACCCUGGACCCUGACGCAUUCAGAAAGCUGACCACAGGAAGGAGUUCCUGCUGUGGUGCAGUAGGUUAAGGACCUGGCAUUGCUGCGGCUGCAGCAUUGGUCACAGCUGUGGCUCGGAUUCGACCCCUGACCCAGGCACAUCCCUAUGCCGCAGGUGCAGGCAGUUAAAAAAAAAAGCCCAUGAUGCAGUGCUGCAGCACGCCCUGAAGAGCUCCCAGAAAAACGGCCCCCAGCCGCAGCAUUCUCAAAUCCAAAUUCGUGUGCCCGAUGCCCAGUGAGGCUAAACAAAUGCAAACGUCGGAGUCUGGAGCAGAGAAAGGCGUAUUGACUGAGAGGGCGGUGACCAUGAAGAACAAGAGUGUCUUCCCCUAGACUGUGCACUCCAGGAGGACCCGCAUUUCAGUGUAUCUCAUUCCCUGCCGCAGCCCCAGUGCGGAGAACACAGAUGCUCAAGAAAUCCUGGGGCAAAUAAAUGAACCCCGCCGCCCACGCUGCCUAGGCCGCCCCCACACACGACCUGCCCUCUCCACUCCCUGGUACCCGGCAGAAAGCGCUGGCUGGGUCUCAGCUGGCUUGGCUGCAGCCUCACAGCACGGCCUCCACCCAGCCUCCAACCAGCCUCCUCUUCUUCUGGGCUGCCGCCUCCCCCCCUUAUAUAAUGAACAGGCUGCCCUGGAACUUGUCCAGCUCUCGCUGUCUCGGUUCCCUUCCCCACCUCUCCAACCGGGAUGUCCACAGCGAACUGACAAAGGCGGGAGGGGUGCCCUGGGAUCCCUGCUAGAAGAAUCUCCAGGCCCUAAGGCCCCUCCCCUGGCACGGAGUUGAGGCAAACAGGGCAGCGGGAGUUGUGAGAACCAAAAACAGACAUGAGAAAGGUUUCUGCAAAAAUAUAUCUAAUAAUAUUUUGGGGGAGAAUAUUUAUUCUUCCAUAAAA